ensembl:lncRNA
CUUCCCUGGCUUCGUGGGGCUCUCACGCGGCUUUCCCAGUCUAGGAGGCUCUCUGAGGUGGGGGACAGCCCAUGUCCCCGUCAAGCAAUUUCCUCUCAGUCAAGUCCUGGAAGGACUCAGUCUCAUUAGAGAAAUCAAAAGGCGAACGCCAAAGGAGGAAGGGCUCUAAAGAGAUUUUAUAGUUUCUCUCUGGCUAUACAGCUUCCAGUGGGGGAACGGAGAAGGUCUUCAGGUGAACCUAACAGCCUUCGCUGCAGCAACCAACUCCGGUCAGGUGUGGUUGACAGCACCUCCCCUCAGCUUCACCAACAGUCUCUUCCAUGCUGCACCAUUGGCUUCUUUGCCGCCUCUGUGGCUGUCUGUGGGGAACUUCUCAGUCAUUCCAAACCAUGGGCAAAGCCGGAAGUGCAAGGGAACUGACACACACCUCGGCUGCUCGGGCGCCUUCUCCCUUCUCUCGUGUGACUUGUCAAUCCUGAGACAUUUUCACACAGCUCCUCAGGAGGUUCCCACGGUGACUCAAUGCCAGUUCUUCACUGCAGCAACUGUCUUGCCAAAGCGUCCUGGGAUUGGCUUUCCCCUCUUACCUGCUUCACUCUUUCUAGUUUCCCACUUUUGUUUCUGGAAUUACUUCCGAAAAAAAAUCUCAGGGUUCAGCUUUUUAGGGGAACCCAGAAAACACUGAGAUAAAAGAAGGGGGCAAACUAUAAAUACUGAUCAAACUCAUUGUGUGGAGAAUGUUCUAACAGACCUUCUAUUUGAAGAGGGACAUAAGGGAACGAGGGGGCUUGAUUGUCCUUUGUAACACACACUGCGAAGUC